AUUUUUAUACUUCUAUCAUGGUUCCGGUCUCUCUUUCCCCUCUAAUAUCUGAAUCAACUAUCUCUCUCUAACUCUCAGGAACUCACAUUAUCUCUAAGCUCCGAGAGCUUCUCUCUAGCUUUCACCUCACUCCCCUUACAAAUCAAACCCCAAAAACCAUAUAUUUGGAAUCCUUGAGACCUAACGAACUCAAUGGUACCCUUGCAUGCGCCAUCUGAGCACCGUGGGCUUUUCUGCCAUUGAAGCCGAGAGCUUCAAAGCUCUAACGCGCGAACCCAGCUCCGACGACGAACUCUGACGAGUUCGAGGUCCAUCUCUUCCCAAAACCUGCUGCAGUGCGUCCAGGUGAAGUUGCUAGUGGAGACUUCCUUAAUCUUUUUCCACACAAUUCUGCUGCUUCGGAGUAUCUGUCUUAGGAACGAGGACUACGAGGCAUCAUACGAGGCAUUCCCCUACCAGUAGCAGUCUAUUUUCCACUUGUGUAAUAUUUGUAAUGAUCUUUCCCUUUCAUGAUCUUGACUUCGAACGUGUUUUGCGCACUCUAGAUAUUUCCCUAAACUUUGUUUGUAACUCCCUUUGGAUUCAGAUAUUUAAUCGUGCGUGUUUCUCCUAAUCAUUUCUCUUGUACUUCAAUAAAUGGCUUUCGUCACCUCAGGUGUCGGCCAGC